rnacentral:rRNA from 1 species
UACAGAGGGUGCAAGCGUUGUUCGGAAUCAUUGGGCGUAAAGGGCGUGUAGGCGGUUUGUUAAGUCAUGUGUGAAAUCCCUCGGCUCAACCGGGGAACGACGCUUGAAACUGGCAAGCUAGAGUACCAAAGAGGGCGGUGGAAUUCCCGGUGUAGCGGUGAAAUGCGCAGAUAUCAGGAGGAACACCAAUUGCGAAGGCAGCUCGCUGGGACGUUAAGCUGACGCUGGAGACGCGAAAGCGUGGGGAGCAAACAGGAUUGAAGAUUACCCGUGGUAAGUCCGAGACCAAGUCCUCGUGCUACCGUAAC